UGUGUAGGUGGCGCCGUAAGUCGGGUGUGAAAUUUCGGAGCUUAACUCCGAAACUGCAUUCGAUACUGCGGUGCUUGAGGACUGGAGAGGAGACUGGAAUUCAUGGUGUAGCAGUGAAAUGCGUAGAGAUCAUGAGGAAGACCAGUGGCGAAGGCGGGUCUCUGGACAGUUCCUGACACUGAGACACGAAGGCCAGGAGAGCAAACG
rnacentral:rRNA from 1 species